rnacentral:rRNA from 1 species
CCUACGGGUGGCAGCAGUGGGGAAUAUUGGACAAUGGGGGCAACCCUGAUCCAGCCAUGCCGCGUGUGUGAAGAAGGCCCUCGGGUUGUAAAGCACUUUCAGUGAGGAAGAACGCCUGGUGGUUAAUACCCAUCAGGAAAGACAUCACUCACAGAAGAAGCACCGGCUAACUCCGUGCCAGCAGCCGCGGUAAUACGGAGGGUGCGAGCGUUAAUCGGAAUUACUGGGCAUAAAGCGCGCGUAGGUGGCUUGAUAAGCCGGUUGUGAAAGCCCCGGGCUCAACCUGGGAACGGCAUCCGGAACUGUCAAGCUAGAGUGCAGGAGAGGAAGGUAGAAUUCCCGGUGUAGCGGUGAAAUGCGUAGAGAUCGGGAGGAAUACCAGUGGCGAAGGCGGCCUUCUGGACUGACACUGACACUGAGGUGCGAAAGCGUGGGUAGCAAACAGGAUUAGAUACCCCUGUAGUC